rnacentral:piRNA from 1 species
GACUGAUAAACGUCAUGGUCCAUGCUUCAC